CUAUGAUUUGCAACUGUUCUUUUUACCUCAGGCAGAAGGGGGAAUGGCUAGUUGCUGUUUAACUGUUGGUUGGUGAAUGGCACUGGUUUGAAAGUAUUGGUUAAGAACAAAAUGGAGAGGAAAAACCAGAUGGUAACUCUUCUCUAAUAUGCAGCUGCUUCAAAACCAAAGUUGUGUUGUAUGGUCAACUAAACUGAACACUGCAGGAUGUGAGAUAAUAUAGUGUCAGAACAAGGUGUUUCAAGAAAGUGAGCUGCGUGCAUAGAUCUAAAUAGUUCAGGAAAAAAAACUAUACAAUAUUUAUUACAGGGAAGAAUGGGGAAUAUUCCCCAGUAACUUUGCUAUUUAAGAUGGAAAAUAAAAAGUGUGCUGCUAUACUCUC